CAGCAGCCGCGGUAAUACGGAGGGGGCUAGCGUUGUUCGGAAUUACUGGGCGUAAAGCGCACGUAGGCGGCUUGGUAAGUUAGAGGUGAAAGCCUGGAGCUCAACUCCAGAAUUGCCUUUAAGACUGCCGAGCUAGCAGGUGAGAGAGGUAAGUGGAAUUCCGAGUGUAGAGGUGAAAUUCGUAGAUAUUCGGAAGAACACCAGUGGCGAAGGCGGCUUACUGGCUGAUACUGGACGCUGAGGUGCGAAAGCGUGGGGAGCAAACAGGAUUAGAUACCCCAGUAGUCCCUGUCUCUUAUAC
rnacentral:rRNA from 1 species